UAGGGGCAGCGGGAUUGAAGCUUGCUUCAAUUGCCGGCGACCGGCGCACGGGUGAGUAACGCGUAUCCAACCUUCCGUACACUCAGGGAUAGCCUUUCGAAAGAAAGAUUAAUACCUGAUGGUAUGAUGAGAUUGCAUGAUAGCAUCAUUAAAGAUUUAUCGGUGUACGAUGGGGAUGCGUUCCAUUAGGUAGUAGGCGGGGUAACGGCCCACCUAGCCAACGAUGGAUAGGGGUUCUGAGAGGAAGGUCCCCCACAUUGGAACUGAGACACGGUCCAAACUCCUACGGGAGGCAGCAGUGAGGAAUAUUGGUCAAUGGACGAGAGUCUGAACCAGCCAAGUAGCGUGAAGGAUGAAGGUCCUACGGAUUGUAAACUUCUUUUAUAAGGGAAUAAACCCUCCCACGUGUGGGAGCUUGUAUGUACCUUAUGAAUAAGCAUCGGCUAACUCCGUGCCAGCAGCCGCGGUAAUACGGAGGAUGCGAGCGUUAUCCGGAUUUAUUGGGUUUAAAGGGAGCGCAGACGGGUCGUUAAGUCAGCUGUGAAAGUUUGGGGCUCAACCUUAAAAUUGCAGUUGAUACUGGCGUCCUUGAGUGCGGUUGAGGUGUGCGGAAUUUGUGGUGUAGCGGUGAAAUGCUUAGAUAUCACGAAGAACUCCGAUUGCGAAGGCAGCACACUAAGCCGUAACUGACGUUCAUGCUCGAAAGUGUGGGUAUCAAACAGGAUUAGAUACCCUGGUAGUCCACACGGUAAACGAUGGACACUCGCUGUUGGCGAUAUACAGUCAGCGGCUUAGCGAAAGCGUUAAGUAUCCCACCUGGGGAGUACGCCGGCAACGGUGCAACUCAAAUGAAUUGACGG
rnacentral:rRNA from 1 species